rnacentral:rRNA from 1 species
GACGAACGCUGGCGGCGUGCUUAACACAUGCAAGUCGAACGGAAAGGCCCUGCUUUUGUGGGGUGCUCGUGUGGCGAAGGGGUGAGUAACACGUGAGUAUCCUGCCCUUGACUUAGGGAUAACUUCAGGAAACUGGGUCUCUUAUCGGAUAGGAUCUCUUGCUGCAUGGUGGGGCUUGGUGAGUUUCGGUGGUUGGGGAUGGACUGGCGGCUUAUCAGCUUGAUGGUGUGGUAGUGGCUUACCAAGGCUUUGACGGGUAGCCGACCUGAGAGGGUGACCGGACACAUUAGGACUGAGAUACGGCCCAGACCCGAACGGUACGCAACGGUGGAGAAUAUUGCACAGUGAGCUGAAGGCUGAUAUGACACCGCCGCGUGCGGGAAGACGGCCUUCGGGUUGUAAACCGAUUUCGCCUUAGACGAGGCGUGAGUGACGGUACUGGGUAAAGAAGCCCCGGCUAACUACGUG